rnacentral:lncRNA from 1 species
AGAAGAAUGGAAAUACAAGAAGACCAAAUUUCUAGAUUAAUGUAUCACAUGGUGGAAAGUCAGGCUGCAUAAUGAGUCAACUUCAUCACAGAAGCCAUUUAAGAGAAAGGAGAAAAUUUUCUUAUGCAGCCUAAUUCUGAUUUAACUACAGUUCUUGAAGUUGCGUGCCUUCUCCAAUUCCACAGAAGCAUCAGAAGACUUAAUACAGUAGUUGCAUUAUAAACAGAGAGGAAAAUAUCUGCAGCCUGAUAUACAUCCAGCCUUUCCGUAAAAUGUGCCUAAGCCUAUUUGAACAAGAAAGACCAAGGAAUCACUUGUGUCCUGCUUGAUAACUGCCCCAUCCUUUGUU